UACGUAGGUGACCAGCGUUGUCCGGAUUUACUGGGCGUAAAGAGCGCGCAGGCGGUCGUUCAAGUCGAGUGUGAAAGCCCCCGGCUCAACUGGGGAGGGUCACGCGAUACUGAUCGACUCGAAGGCAGGAGAGGGUAGUGGAAUUCCCGGUGUAGUGGUGAAAUGCGUAGAUAUCGGGAGGAACACCGGUGGCGAAGGCGGCAUCCUGGACCAACAUUGACGCUGAGGAGCGAAAGCUAGGGGAGCAAACGGG
rnacentral:rRNA from 1 species